rnacentral:sRNA from 1 species
GCCCGGCCUAGGUUUGGCCGCCGAAAACCUGCCGCCCCUGGGCAGGCUGGCCGGGCACCCAUACAGGG